rnacentral:rRNA from 1 species
UGGGGAAUUUUGCACAAUGGGGGAAACCCUGAUGCAGCGACGCCGCGUGAUUUAGAAGGCCUUCGGGUUGUAAAAAUCUUUUCUAUGGGAAGAAAAUGACAGUACCAUAGGAAUAAGGACCGGCUAAUUACGUGCCAGCAGCCGCGGUAAUACGUAAGGUCCGAGCGUUGUCCGGAAUCAUUGGGCGUAAAGGGUACGUAGGCGGGUAAGCAAGUUAGAAGUGAAAUCCUAUAGCUCAACUAUAGUAAGCUUUUAAAACUGCUCAUCUUGAGGUAUGGAAGGGAAAGUGGAAUUCCUAGUGUAGCGGUGAAAUGCGCAGAUAUUAGGAGGAGUACCGGUGGCGAAGGCGACUUUCUGGCCAUAACCUGACGCUGAGGUACGAAAGCGUGGGUAGCAAACAGG